UUGAACGCUGGCGGCAUGCCUUACACAUGCAAGUCGAACGGCAGCACGGAGCUUGCUCUGGUGGCGAGUGGCGAACGGGUGAGUAAUAUAUCGGAACGUACCCUAGAGUGGGGGAUAACGUAGCGAAAGUUACGCUAAUACCGCAUACGAUCUAAGGAUGAAAGUGGGGGAUCGCAAGACCUCAUGCUCGUGGAGCGGCCGAUAUCUGAUUAGCUAGUUGGUAGGGUAAAGGCCUACCAAGGCGACGAUCUGUAGCGGGUCUGAGAGGAUGAUCCGCCACACUGGGACUGAGACACGGCCCAGACUCCUACGGGAGGCAGCAGUGGGGAAUUUUGGACAAUGGGCGAAAGCCUGAUCCAGCCAUGCCGCGUGCGGGAAGAAGGCCUUCGGGUUGUAAACCGCUUUCAGCCGGAAAGAAAUCGCCACUUCUAAUACGAGUGGUGGAUGACGGUACCGGAAGAAGAAGCACCGGCUAACUACGU
rnacentral:rRNA from 1 species